CCUACGGGAGGCAGCAGUGAGGAAUAUUGGUCAAUGGACGAGAGUCUGAACCAGCCAAGUAGCGUGAGGGAUGACUGCCCUAUGGGUUGUAAACCUCUUUUAUAUGGGAAUAAAACAGGGUAUGCAUACCCUCUUGUAUGUACCAUAUGAAUAAGGAUCGGCUAACUCCGUGCCAGCAGCCGCGGUAAUACGGAGGAUCCGAGCGUUAUCCGGAUUUAUUGGGUUUAAAGGGUGCGUAGGUGGAUUGUUAAGUCAGUUGUGAAAGUUUGCGGCUCAACCGUAAAAUUGCAGUUGAAACUGGCAGUCUUGAGUACAGUAGAGGUGGGUGGAAUACGUGGUGUAGCGGUGAAAUGCUUAGAUAUCACGAAGAACUCCGAUUGCGAAGGCAGCUCACUGGACUGCAACUGACACUGAUGCUCGAAAGUGUGGGUAGCAAACAGGAUUAGAUACCCCUGUAGUC
rnacentral:rRNA from 1 species